rnacentral:rRNA from 1 species
UACAGAGGUCUCAAGCGUUGUUCGGAUUCAUUGGGCGUAAAGGGUGCGUAGGCGGCGCGGUAAGUCGGGUGUGAAAUCUCGGAGCUUAACUCCGAAACUGCAUUCGAUACUGCCGUGCUUGAGGACUGGAGAGGAGACUGGAAUUUACGGUGUAGCGGUGAAAUGCGUAGAUAUCGUAAGGAAGACCAGUGGCGAAGGCGGGUCUCUGGGCCAUUACUGACGCUGAGGAGCGAAAAGCGUGGGGAGCGAACAGG